GCAGUGCGUAUUAUUUACGUUUUUAAUAAAAAUGGAAGUUGGAUUUAAUAAAAUAGACUCCAAAAAUUUACCAAAAGUUAGUGUCGACAUGGUAGUAACUUUUUUUGUCAUGAGUCCAGAGUUUUCAAGUGUAGAAAUGAAAGGCACUAAAUUAAUACGGUAUGCAUGAAUGUUUUUAAACGUUGUUUGCAUUUUAUUCAGCAAUUUCUAAACAUAGCAGUUAUAUUUAGCUCAACGAGAGAAUCUUACGGCGAUAACGCAAUCGGUUAUGUGCAAAUUAAAAGAGAUGGAGAAUUAUGUACAGUGAAAAGUCGAGUUACUCCAGAGCACAAAGUACGAAAAGAAGGUUAUCGUGUUACAGCUGUAAUAAAUGACUCCAUUUACGUCCGUCAUGCUAUUGGAAGAAGUCGAAAUUAUCUACAUGUGCUUCUGGAAAAUCUUUCAUAAAAGCCAAAGAAAUGGGUCAAGUUUCAGUCAAUAACAGUUUCUCUCAAGUGUAUAUUUUAAAAGAAUUUGUAGAUGCUGUCAAUAAAAAAGAUUGUCGGGGAAGUAUUCUUCGCAACUUUCAAGAAGACAAGCAUUCAUAAGGUGUGUUCAAGCUUGAUUGGAAAGUUGGACUCUCCAGAAUCAUUUCUUGAAGCAUUAUCAAAGCAAAUGACCACUGAUAAUAUAAAUAUGGUAUUUUCCACCACCAAACAUCAAAGUGAUUCACCAAUGUGGUUUGAGUUAAGUAGUAAGACUUCUAGCUUAGUUUUGUUUAUUGUAUUUAUCACUAAAAUACCGUGAAUAAAAAAAAUAUUUUGACAAAAUAAACUUAUUAUCAUACUCACAUAACAUAAACUUGAUUGGCAUAUUAGCUGUAUUUAAGUUUAUUUUUUUAUUUUACAGGUACGGCAGAAUUACUGUCUUUAUGAAGCCGCUCACUGUAGAACUAUAAAUGGUUCCCUUCUGAACGCAAUUAUGGGAGAACAUUCAAAGUUUACUUCCAUUGCGAUGAGUAGAGGGAAAAUACUAGAAAAAAAAGUUCAAAGUAGUACAAGCAAGAAAGAAAAGAUUGAAAUUGAAGAAGCUGGACUACUUCUUAAUGCCGAGUAUCCUAUUUUUGGAGCAACACCUGACGGGCUGACUGAAAAUUAUACAAUAGAAGUCAAAUGUCCUUCAACCGAAGCUGCCAUACUUUCCUAUGUGAAAGACAAUAAAAUAACACCAAAAUGUUGGACACAAGUACAACUGCAAAUGUUGUGUGCCAUAUGAUAACAGCAUUGUAUCUGUAAUGAAUAUUGCAAAGAAAUUCUGGAUAGAUGCUGUAUUUCCGAAAUUAAAAGAUAUAUGUGUCGCAUAACUUCAAACUUGGAUAAAUCCAUCUUCAAAGAUUUUUAAGAUUUUGGUAUCGUUAAAAAGAAAAAAACACAAGCUUUGAAUCUAUUUUGUCAGUUGUGUAUAAAUCCGGAUAGUUUGUGAGAAAUUAAGAGUCAAAGUCAUAUCAUUUUAUGAAAACCAGAUACAUCCA